rnacentral:lncRNA from 1 species
UUCGUAUUACUAAUUUUAAAUAAUGAUAUUUUUUAAUUUGUUAAAGAAAUAAUUUUGAAAAAUCAAACAAGGCUUCUCCUGUAAUUAUGUAUCACAUCUCGUGUUCUCUUCUCGUAAUAAUCAUUCAACUUCUAUAUUUUUGCCAUUCAUCAAUUUCUUAAUUAAAAAUUUCUUACAAUAAAAAAUAAGAAUCAUCAAAAACACUUUUAUUCAAAAAUAAAACUAAUAAUAAAAAUAAAUAAUAAAAAUGAAAAUAAAAUGCAAACUUGUUUAAAAAGUCGGGUUGCCUCCCGAUAAAUGCUUCUUUUUUGUGCGAGUCUUAAGCUAGACUCCCAACUUAAUAAAAUUCUAAUAACGUCGUUGUUCAUCCAUCCAUUGCAUUUAAUAUUAUUUCUGGACCGAUUCGAAAAAUUUGACUCUUCGUUUCUAAAAUCGGCCAAUCGAGCAUGAAUACCAUAAAAUCCCAGAAAUUUGACAAUGUUUGGAACCGGUUGGACACUCAUCUAAAAUGCAUCGCACUGCUGAAUUAUCUGCAAAGACGGAAUCGUCAGCCCAUACUUCGAGACAUAAUCUGGGAAACACAAGGGUCCGCAUCGUGGUAAAGAUCAAACCACGACAUGGUUCCUGCAAUUUAGCUCAUUCUUGUUCUUCGUCCGAGUCUUCUUCUAACAGUAUCUCCAACUCCUCCAAAUAUAUUCCAGGAUCGAAUAGAUCAUCUAGUUCCUGCAACUCACGCUCAAGAAUAAAAUCUAUCGUAUCCAUUUAAGUAAAACUAAAAACUAAAAACUAAAAACUAAGCUACAAAAAUAUAAUUCGAGCUAAAUGUAACCGUUCCUUGACAACGACGCCAAAACACUUUAUGUGUAUAUUUAUGCACUAGUUUUAAAUUUAUAAAUCGUAAUUUAUUACUUCUAAACUAAUACAUACAUUAGACAGUGAACCUAAUCAUAUAGUAGUAUAGUUGUGGUAAGAAAUGGUGUCGAACAAUAAGGGAAUGGGAAUGGUUUAGAUCAAAUAAUUCAAAUGCUAAUUAAAUUAAUAAGAGUAAAAUAAAAAUGAGAGGUUUGGAAAUCCCAAUUUAAACACCUCACUAAAUCUAGCCUAGACAUCAUCCCCAUAAGUAGAUCACUCAGUAUAAUAACUUGGAAUCACUGAUAAAUCUUAAUUAUAGGUUCAUAAUAACGACUAUGACUAUAAUUAAAAGUUACACUUAGUGUAGCUUAACUUACAAAUCUUUUAGCGAAAAGUAGGAAAUUACAGUGGCAUAACUCUGACUCGAGAGCUUCUAAUUUUUGGGCUCCUAGGGAGCUCCAAGCUUCACCAAAACUUAGUUCUAAAGAAGAUUUCUGACCAAAAUGGAGAGAAAAUCGAUGGAGAAACAAGAAGGCGUGG